UCGAGCUGCGUAGCUGGCCAAUGAAAUUGCCGAGAAGGAACCGAGGGGGCGGGGCGCAGGGGCUCGAGGGGUUGCAAACGCAUACGCCCUCUACAGAGCUCGCGUGUGCGCGGCGUCCCCCUAAUGCAGCCGCGGGGCGUGGCUAUGCAAAUAGCGCACCCGUAGGCUCGAAGGGCCGCCGGGAGGUUCCGCCGUGCGGUUGCCGGUGAGCGCGCAGCGCGGUGCGCUUGGUUCCGCUUGUGCUCAGGUAAUCGCACGCGUGGGGUCGGGGCAGUGGGGAGAAACACUUGGGAGCUCAAGGACGCUACAGAUGUUCCACAUCAAACCGAAAGAAAAGGCGAUUUUGCUGCCAGCGCAGAAAAACUGAUUAAAGAUUGCAGUUAACAGAGCAUGCCCCAUCCCUGAAUUGGUCCCUUGGUAGAUGCAAAUGUUUCAGGUUUCUGUCUGCAAAAGCACGGCAAGAAGUCUCAUUAAAAUGUGCGUGACUUGAAGGCAAGUGCCGUGCCAGGCGUGGCUGCAGCAUCAGGCCUGAAGACACGCUCCUUCUGCUCAACCUUCGCUUCCAGAAACCCCUCGGCUGCUCCGAUUCUGUGCGCACGAUCCGGGGUACACGUGUGAGUCUUACAGACGUUCCCUCCACAGCCCAAAGCGGGCUGUGUUACACUUUACACAGGGCUGAUAGAAACUCAUCCCAAUGAGUUAAGAAGACUACAAGUAAUCAACUAAAUCCAUGCCAAAUGAAACAAAAUAAAGAGUUCAAGGUUGUCUGUACAUUGCCUUCUUCACUAAAGUUCAUCAGAGUCAGCUCACACUUCUUUCAAACACAAUGGACUCGUGAUUGGAAAGGUGUUUUUUUAAACUGAAACCUGUAGCUCGUGAUCUAGUAUUUCCCUCUAAUGUGAACAAAGAUGAAUAUGAUGCUUAGGUCGGCCACUGGAAAAGCUCCUGUGAAUUUCCCUAAGCUUUAAUCAGACAUCCAACCAAAACGUGUAAAAAUACUGUAAAAUUGUAAAAACAAUUCUGAGACCAUCAGUUCUUCCUUAAAAUGGCAUACCAGCCUGCCUCAUUCUUUUCAGAUUAGGCCUUCUGUCUGCAUCCUGAAGUUUAUAUUAUGCAUAAAUGUGUAUAAACCACAUUUAUUUGCAUGUUACACAAUACUCAUUCUACUUCCUCUGAAAGUCUACUCUACAUGUUCAGUACUUUUAUAUUGACUUUUAACAUAGAUUUGUUAAACUGCGGAUUUUUCAGCCAUCUGCUUACCUUACCCAGUUUAUUCUAGUGUAUUUUCCCAUUUAUUUUACACACAGACACCAUAUCAACAUAUACUGGAGCCCUGGUCUUGCAGCACCAGAGACUGCAGAGGAUGAUGAGGGCCCUUCAGCAGGUUUUGUAAGUCCCAAACCCUUCCCAGCAGUACAAAGUAUAGUCAUGGCUUUGAGGACUGGAGAUAAAAGUGAGCCCAUAUACCUUUGGAUGUUAGGAGCUUUAGACAAAGAUCAGAUGACUCCGAUCUGCAUGACAAUUUGUUUUGUAUCAUCUUUCUGUAGUACACACUUUUUUUUGGUGGGCUGAAGUACCUUCUUUCCUACUAGUACUCAAGUCCUGAUGCAAAUCCUAGUCUGCUCUGUUAGCUCUCGUUAAUCAGGAAUUCUUGGAACAAUACAAACACGUUUGUAUUUUUAGCACACAUUAUGUCUUUUCCAUCUGCAAGACACUUAGUUGAGCUACCUCCCUUUCCUAUGGGCUAAACUAUUUCAUUAUUCUCGCUUGAUUCCACAAACACAACAGGUCACUUUCUACUAAUAUGACAUGAAAGAAAGAGAUUGAAAAUGUCAGCAUUGGCACUGGCUGCCUGCUGAAAUCAGUCUGCAGAGCUGAGCUGUGUUUACAAUGCCAAAGUUAAAGGGAAGUCAUGGAACUCCCUCUUCCCCCGCCCGACUUCACCUCUCCCACACACGGACAGGCUGCCUGGCCUCAAAGAACAGCCGCGCAGUAAUGGAUCGGAAUAACUUUUAAUGAGCACACAGCUGGCUUUAGGAUGGCAAUGGUUAAACACCAAGUGCUACAUUGCUCGGCUGCAGGGAUAACCCAGCCCUACCUGCGGUACUGCAGGGAAGGCACAAAUAUCCAGCGGCACACGGUGCAGGCGUUUCUCUCACCCUGCUUGUCAGUGAAAACACCUUUUGUAACGUUUUGUACAUUUGAAGCAUUUCUUCUUUAUGUAAAAUAUUCAAUAAAUGUAAAGUAGUAUUUUGGCUGUAAA